GUGAGGAAUUUUCCGCAAUGGGCGAAAGCCUGACGGAGCAAUGCCGCGUGAAGGAUGAAGGCCUAUGGGUUGUAAACUUCUUUUCUCAGAAAAGAAUUAUGACGGUAUCUGGGAAUAAGCAUCGGCUAACUCUGUGCCAGCAGCCGCGGUAAGACAGAGGAUGCAAGCGUUAUCCGGAAUGAUUGGGCGUAAAGCGUCUGUAGGUUGUUUAAAAAGUAUUCUGUCAAAGAUUAGGGCUUAACCCUAGAUAGGCAGAAUAAACUUUUAAGCUAGAGGUGGGUAGAGGCAGAGGGAAUUCCCGGUGGAGCGGUGAAAUGCGUAGAUAACGGGAGGAACACCAAAGGCGAAGGCACUCUGCUGGGCCAAUACUAACACUGAGAGACGAAAGCGAGGGGAGCAAAUGGGAUUAGAUACCCGAGUAGUCC
rnacentral:rRNA from 1 species